rnacentral:rRNA from 1 species
GAUGAACGCUGGCGGCGUGCCUAAUACAUGCAAGUCGAGCGAACAGAUGAGGAGCUUGCUCCUCUGACGUUAGCGGCGGACGGGUGAGUAACACGUGGAUAACCUACCUAUAAGACUGGGAUAACUUCGGGAAACCGGAGCUAAUACCGGAUAAUAUAUUGAACCGCAUGGUUCAAUAGUGAAAGACGGUUUUGCUGUCACUUAUAGAUGGAUCCGCGCCGCAUUAGCUAGUUGGUAAGGUAACGGCUUACCAAGGCAACGAUGCGUAGCCGACCUGAGAGGGUGAUCGGCCACACUGGAAUUGAGACACGGUCCAGACUCCUACGGGAGGCAGCAGUAGGGAAUCUUCCGCAAUGGGCGAAAGCCUGACGGAGCAACGCCGCGUGAGUGAUGAAGGUCUUCGGAUCGUAAAACUCUGUUAUUAGGGAAGAACAAAUGUGUAAGUAACUAUGCACGUCUUGACGGUACCUAAUCAGAAAGCCACGGCUAACUACGUG